CCGAUUAGCACUGAGCGGCUAACGCGGUUAGCAGGCAUCUGUUUCUGCUUUGUUUUCGGCCAACAUUGAACGGGGGCUUGUUCGCCACUCAAAUCAAACUUAAUCUAAAAAGGACUUUAUUUGACCACCUCUGUGAGAGUUUAAGGAAAUGGAGUGCAGCUGUUGGGCCAUAUUUCAGAGAAGUGCUCUGAGGUUAGCAUCAUAAACAGGGAAGAUGAAACCCAGAUGUGUGCCAGCUGAAGACGCAUAACGAUCCGUUAGCUGCAGCCACGGCCACCAUCAGCACCUCCACUCAGACGGAGGGCUGCUUGUCCCAGCCGCUGGCCCAAUGGCGCGAGCUUCUAAAGGGUGUAGAAUGGGGAAGGUGUGCUCCCCCUCACCCCUGGCCCGUUCAGUUGGAGCUGAAAUGACACUUGACUCAGUGCCGGUGACUCUCCACGGUCCCUACGAUGCCGGCUUGCAUGCUGCCCUUAGAGAGUGGACGGUUUGACAAGUUCAUGUGUAGGGACCCCAUUGCGCAGCACCGCUGCUUAAUCCCCAGCUUCAUCUUCAGCAGCCUGAUCCAGCUGUCUAAAGCACAGGAUGUGAACAUGCUACACACUGCACAUUUGUCCAACACUGGAAGAUUCAAGUUUUUAAAUCAUCUAAUUUUUUUCUCUUUUUUUUCUAAAAAUUAAUGUAUGUGUGUGUCAGCAUGC